AUUGAACGCUGGCGGCAGGCUUAACACAUGCAAGUCGAGCGAGCGGCGGACGGGUGAGUAAUGUCUGGGAAACUGCCUGAUGGAGGGGGAUAACUACUGGAAACGGUAGCUAAUACCGCAUACCAUCAGAUGUGCCCAGAUGGGAUUAGCUAGUAGGUGGGGUAAUGGCUCACCUAGGCGACGAUCCCUAGCUGGUCUGAGAGGAUGACCACCCAAACUGAAAGUGAGACACGGUCCGAACACAUAGGGGGGGAAGCAGUGGGGGAUUGUGAGCAUGGGGAGCAGGCCUGAUGCAAAAAUGCGGAGUGUGUGAAGAGGGCCUUCGGGUGGUAAAACACUUUCAGCGAGGAGGGGUUCCUCGCAGAAGAGGCACCGGCUGACUCCGUGCCAGCAGGCGCGGUAAUAC
rnacentral:rRNA from 1 species